AACUCAACUUGAUUCAUUCAUUUUCAUUGAUAUAUAUACACGUGCUUUCUUCGCUUUCUCUUCUUGUUGACACACUUUUCAUUUCACUUCCUCUCUCUACAACUUGAACAACAACGCAACUUCAUCACAGCACAGAGUCAAUUUCGAUUAAUGUCGGGGAGAAAGAGGAGGAAGUUGAAAUUGUUGAGUGAUACAAUUGCUAACAGCAGAAGAGGAGCAACAGAGGUGAAAAAUGAUAAUUUGGAGCUGCAAACAUGGUCUGAUCUCCCCGCUGAACUCUUACAAAUAAUCAUGUCUCAAUUACCCCUAGACGACAAUGUCCGUGCUUCUGUUGUUUGCAAGAGUUGGUAUUCUGUUGCUAAUGCUGUACGCGUGGUGAAUCAAUCACCAUGGUUAAUGUAUUUUCCAAAAUUUGGUCAGUGGUAUGAGUUCUAUGACCCUGUGCAGCGGAAGACAUAUUCUAUUGAGUUUCCAGAGUUGAAUGGAUCUAGAGUUUGUUAUACAAAAGAUGGUUGGUUACUGCUAUACCGGCCAAGAACUGACCGGGUGUUCUUCUUUAACCCCUUCACUCGGGAGACCAUCAAAAUGCCAAGAUUUGAGAUGACAUACCAGAUAGUUGCUUUUUCUUGUGCUCCAACAUCACCUAACUGUGUUCUGUUCACUGUUAAGCAUGUUAGUCCUACUGUUGUGGCCAUUAGCACAUGUCACCCUGGGGCAACCGAGUGGACCACUGUUAAUUACCAAAACCGCUUGCCCUUUGUCAGUAGCAUAUGGAAUAAACUUGUGUUUUGUAAUGGACUCUUUUAUUGCCUGAGUUUAACAGGUUGGCUAGGGGUGUUUGAUCCAUCUGAACGCACUUGGAGUGUUCUAUCGGUACCUCCACCCAAAUGCCCUGAGAAUUUUUUCGCCAAAAAUUGGUGGAAGGGGAAAUUUAUGACCGAGCAAGAGGGAGAUGUAAUAGUAAUAUAUACUUGUUCUAGUGAAAACCCUAUUAUUUUCAAGUUAGACCAGGCAUUAAUGGAAUGGGAAGAGCUAAAAACACUAGAUGGAGCAACUCUUUUUGCUAGUUUCUUGUCUUCCCAUUCAAGGAUCGACCUCCCUGGAAUGAUGAGGAACAGUAUCUACUUCUCUAAAGUUCGUUUUUAUGGAAAGCGUUGCAUAUCAUUCUCUCUUGAUGACUAUCGAUACUAUCCUCGUAAGCAGUGGCAUGACUGGGGUGAACAAGACCCUUUCGAAAGCAUAUGGAUUGAACCACCAAAGGACUUCUCCGGAUUCACUUGAAGAAUUUUUGUGAAACAGAUGAUUAUUUCCAAAUCAGUAAUGUGUAGAGGUAUUUGUUUUCACUUGGUUUUUAGCUUUGUUUUAUAACUUCUGGUUAUAUGCUUUGAUACUAAUGCAUAAUAAGCUAGUUUGUGGUUUGCUUUGCUAAAUUUUAUGUAUAUUUGUAACAGUUCAUCAACAUCAUUGAUGUUUUAUUAUUUCAUUUGACUAUCAAUGCUUACUACCUGCAAUGUAAUCUAGGAUUCAUCGUUCAUUUGUUCUUAUCUACAUUAACUUAUAGGUUUUGAAUUUGAUCCACUCACAUUGUAAAAAAAAUAAAUUAGUACACUAUCAUCUAGUAAUUAUUUAUUGACAUCUCACUAAAAUAGUUGGACUGUAAUAAUAGCUAUCUAAAAAGUCAAACAUGAUUGAAUUGAGAAUAUAAAAAACUGUGAAUGUCAAAAAAAAUUAAAUUCAGCCAUAUGUUUCAUUUACAAUUCUAAAAAAUGUUUACAUUUGCAAAAAUGUUUUGUAGCAUCUCCCAUUUCAGUUCUGGUCGUAACUCAUAAAUAAUACUUUGCAUUUACUGCACCUUUUUACAUAAAAGCUCUUGUAAAUGCUAAUCAAUAUUUUUAAAGUGGGAUGGAUACUGUCAAUGUUUAAUUGAAAGUAGCCAUGGUCAUAUCAUUGGCUUUGGAAAACAGAAAAGGGAUUGCAGUUCUGCAAUACAUAAUGUUUUCUGUACAUUUGUGCAUUAUACAUACUAGUGUACUACAUUGAUUUAAGCAAGAGAGGUCACUUGUUUAUUGGGAUUUCUGGCUUGUGUGAACUUUAUAUGAAUAAUCACAAUUACAAUAUUACUUCAUGUGUGUUUGUGUUGAAUUGUUUGUUAAUAUCUUAUUUAGUUCAUCUAUUUUUAUUUAACAAUCAGCUUUUAUAAAACUUCUGCCUACAUUCCAUAUAAUGCCUAAUUUGUUUACAAACUUUACAUAGUUUGUCAAGGUAGUAAGGCGUAAGUUUGCUCUGUAACUUUCUUAGUAGGGAGGGGAAGGAAAGAAGGAAGAAUAACUAUUAGGGUAAAAUUUUAUUAAGCCAAGAAUAUCUUAUUAUUGGUUUCCUUCAUGUUGUAGAAAAGAUGGUUGAUCUCAAUUUAGGUGGUUUGGACAUGUGUGGAGAAGACAUAGAUUUUGUAGUAAGGAGACAUAGAGAGUAUAUCAGAUGGAGGGUGAAAAGCCAAGAAAAACUAAGAGAAACUAUUAGGAAAGACCUGAAGGUUAAUGGUUUUGUUGCAGAUAUGAUUUAUGAUAGAAUGUUAUAUUGGUAUAGCCGUAUAGCUUACUAGAGCUCAGGCUUUGGUUGUUGUUAAGAAACAUGGCAUCCAUGGAUAAAGUUGAGAGAAAGCUAGAAAAACUCUUUGAAUUGAUCAAAAUAGAAUAUUACAAAGGAGAAAGAUGAGUACAAAUGACUAGAGCAAAGUCUAUUCAUAGGCUAACUGACUGACUAACUAACUAGUAACUAUAAAAACUAAUUUGAUCUCAAUUGCCUCCUGCAAGCUGGAAGGUGUUCACAACACUUCUAGUUCGGGGUGACUAAUACAAAAUACAUCAAAAUGGAAGAAUAUACUGUCAAGAAUUAUGGCUUGAUACCUUUCUCAUUGUUAUUUCUUGUAUAUAUAGAGGUUACAAGGUUAUACAGGUAAUUACACUAAAUAAUUACAUUUAAUGAGAACAAAUCAAUGUCUGAUUUGUUUUCCUUAUUCUAGGAACAAACUAAUAAAUAUAAUUAAGAGGACAAGUCAACUUCUUAUUCACAUCCCCCCUCAAAUUGAUGCGGUUGGUCAAUGAACAUCAAUUUUGCUAACAAGAAACUGAUGGCGUGGGCGUGGAACAACUUUAGUAAGAAUAUCUGCAACUUGAAACUGAGUACUGACAUGAGGAAGUGCUAUAAGUCGGUCAUCAUAUGCAUCACAGAUUGAAUGACAAUCGAUUUCGAUAUGUUUGGUGCGUUCAUGAAAGACAGGAUUUGCAACAAUCUGGAUGACACUUGUAUUGUCGGCAUAAAGUGACGUAGGCUCAGUUUGAGGAAGUCCAAGUUCAGCCAAAAGACCACGUAACCAAAUAAUUUCCGAGCAAGCAACAGACAUGGCGCGAUACUCAGAUUCAGUAGAGGAUUUAGAGACUCUUGCUUGCUUCUUACUUUUCCAUGAGAUCAACGAAGAACCAAGAAACAUGCACCAACCAGUUACAGAUCGACGAGUGUCAGGACACCCUGCCCAAUCAACAUCACUAUAAGCACGCAAUUUAGGAGCUAUUCCGGUGGGGCAAUAAGAGAUAAUAUGGUCCCGCUGCUUGCAAUAGUUACAAAACUUCUUACCACCGCAACUAUGAGCAUAAUGUCCAAAUUGGUUGCAAGAGAAGCAUUGAAUUUGUCGAACAUCACGACCUUUACCUCUACUCUGAGCAGCAUAUGCAAUCGUAACAGGCUAAAAAAUGACAGCAUCAAGAGACAUGGCUCCUUGAGUAGCAAGACGUUGUUCCUCUCGGAGAAGUUCACCAACACAUGUAUUUAAAGAAGGAACAGGGUUCCUAUUCAGCAAAACACCUCUAACAACCUCAAAUUCUGGACGGAGCUUCAUGAGAAAUUGAUCUCGCCUACUAGUAUUGUAGACCUCUUGGACAACCGCAAGAGAACUCUCAGGGACCUUAGCAUGGAUUAUUGCAGAGUGUUCUGUCCACAAAUUCAGAAAUCCAGAAUAAUACUCUUGAACAAAUAAAUUACCGUGUUUGUAAUUGGCUAUCUCUUGCUCCAACUGAAAACGUCUGACAUCAUUAUCUUGGUCAUAAAUACGCUUCAAGUAAUUCCACAUUUCUUGAGCAGUAGAAAAAGCUCGCAAAUUAUUAAUCAUCUGAGGAUCAAUAGUACUAAGAAUCCAAGUGAUAAUUUUUGUAUCUUUGGUUUCCCAUUCAUUUAAAUCAGUUGUCUCUAAUGGUGUCAGAGACAUCAUCUAAGUGACUCCAUAAUCCCUCCACUUUAACAUAAUGCCUAAACUGAAAUUCCCAAGCAGGAUAAUUUUUACCGGUAAAACGGACACAAGAAAUUGCUUUUUCUGAAGCCAUUAUAGCGAAGCAAAGGGAACAAGACAGUAACAACGAUGGGCAGUGAACAAAGGCUUGUGAAUGGAAAUUUGGACAAGUGAAUAAAAUAAAAUGAAGUGGCUGGAAAGGUUGUUGACAAGUAUCAAGUAAAAAACCAAUACGCAAACUACAAGCAGUGACCUCCUUUAUAUAUAAUUUUUUUUUUAACCCCGUACAGCCAGAAAAAAAAAAACAAAUAUGAUAAAAGGCAAGUACCAAUUUGCAAUACGACAAUCAGAUCAGGAACCGCGAACACUGUCACGAUAUGAACAACCAAGGAGCGGCAGCAAUCAGAAUCUGAUUGCAAAAGAACGACCAGGAACCGAGAAGACCAAAUCAAGAGACGGCGAGGAACCGCGGACAGCAAAAAUCAGGGUUUCGAAAAUGAUGAAACCGACGGAAACAAUUUCAAGAGCGAGACCUGGUGGGGUGUCACUGAACCAAACCAAGAUGAGCAAAGAUGUUACAGCUGAACUAGUUUGUUGUGCAACUUGUACCAAUUUUUUAAAUAGGGAGUUGAAAGUCAAUGUAUGAAACUCUAUGUUGGAAUGCAGCAUUUUCAAACAGCUAGUUGUCUUAGUGCAGUAAAGCAAUUCUUAAUCCGGGCAUGAAAUUUUUUCCAUACUGCAGUUUCAGAGUUCCUGGUUAUCUCUUUGGGGUGUAGUAGUUCAUUAGUAAAGCUCAUUUCGAAGCAUGCCAAAGGCAGCAUCUUUACGGGCUAUACAUCGGAGGCUACUAAUAUAUGAAGGAAUCAGAUCUGUUGGGGCAUACUAAAGACUCAGUCCCUUGAUUAUCCUGUCUCUGCUGAUCUAAAAAUUUCAAGAUUUUUCCCAGCAUAGGGAUGUAGUGCUUAUAUGCAAAACAAUUGGAGUUCAUGCAUUGAGUACUGAUUACUUACAGCUUUAUUGAUAUUUAUUUUGGACAUGUGAUUUAUAGAUUCAUAUAGAUGGUUAUUUAAAUUUCAUUUUCUGUUUGGUUGGAUUCA